rnacentral:tRNA from 5 species
AGGCACGUAGCUCAGCUGGUUAGAGCACCACCUUGACAUGGUGGGGGUCGUUGGUUCGAAUCCAAUCGUGCCUACCA